CACAAGCGGUGGAUGAUGUGGAUUAAUUCGAUGCAACGCGAAAAACCUUACUACCCUUGACAUGUCCGGAAUCCUGCAGAGAUGCGGGAGUGCCCGAAAGGGAAUCGGAACACAGGUGCUGCAUGGCUGUCGUCAGCUCGUGUCGUGAGAUGUUGGGUUAAGUCCCGCAACGAGCGCAACCCUUAUCAUUAGUUGCUACGCAAGGGCACUCUAAUGAGACUGCCGGUGACAAACCGGAGGAAGGUGGGGAUGACGUCAAGUCCUCAUGGCCCUUAUGGGUAGGGCUUCACACGUCAUACAAUGGUCGGUACAGAGGGUUGCCAAGCCGCGAGGUGGAGCCAAUCCCAGAAAGCCGAUCGUAGUCCGGAUUGUUCUCUGCAACUCGAGAGCAUGAAGUCGGAAUCGCUAGUAAUCGCGGAUCAGCAUGUCGCGGUGAAUACGUUCCCGGGUCUU
rnacentral:rRNA from 1 species